rnacentral:rRNA from 1 species
CCUACGGGAGGCAGCAGUGAGGAAUAUUGGUCAAUGGUCGGGAGACUGAACCAGCCAAGCCGCGUGAGGGAUGAAGGUACAGAGUAUCGUAAACCUCUUUUGUCAGGGAACAAAGGCGGGGACGUGUCCCCGGAUGAGUGUACCUGAAGAAAAAGCAUCGGCUAACUCCGUGCCAGCAGCCGCGGUAAUACGGAGGAUGCGAGCGUUAUCCGGAUUUAUUGGGUUUAAAGGGUGCGCAGGUGGUCUGUUAAGUCAGAGGUAAAAGCCCGGGGCUCAACCCCGGCCCGCCGUUGAAACUGGCAGUCUCGAGUUGGAGAGAAGUAUGCGGAAUGCGCGGUGUAGCGGUGAAAUGCAUAGAUAUCGCGCAGAACUCCGAUUGCGAAGGCAGCAUGCCGGCUCCACACUGACGCUGAGGCACGAAAGCGUGGGUAUCGAACAGGAUUAGAUACCCGUGUAGUC